UACGUAGGGGGCGAGCGUUGUCCGGAUUUAUUGGGCGUAAAACGCUUGUAGGCGGCCACCGCGCGUCGGACGUGAAAUCUCCCGGCUCAACUGGGAGGGUCGUGCGAUACGGCGGGGCUCGAGGCCGGUAGGGGGACGCGGAAUUCCCGGUGUAGUGGUGGAAUGCGUAGAUAUCAGGAGGAACACCAAUUGCGAAGGCAGCUCGCUGGGACGUGACUGACGCUGAGACGCGAAAGCGUGGGGAGCAAACAGG
rnacentral:rRNA from 1 species